rnacentral:rRNA from 1 species
CUACGGGCCGCAGCAGUGGGGAAUAUUGCACAAUGGGCGCAAGCCUGAUGCAGCCAUGCCGCGUGUAUGAAGAAGGCCUUCGGGUUGUAAAGUACUUUCAGCGGGGAGGAAGGGAGUAAAGUUAAUACCUUUGCUCAUUGACGUUACCCGCAGAAGAAGCACCGGCUAACUCCGUGCCAGCAGCCGCGGUAAUCCGGAGGGUGCAAGCGUUAAUCGGAAUUACUGGGCGUAAAGCGCACGCAGGCGGUUUGUUAAGUCAGAUGUGAAAUCCCCGGGCUCAACCUGGGAACUGCAUCUGAUACUGGCAAGCUCGAGUCUCGUAGAGGGGGGUAGAAUUCCAGGUGUAGCGGUGAAAUGCGUAGAGAUCUGGAGGAAUACCGGUGGCGAAGGCGGCCCCCUGGACGAAGACUGACGCUCAGGUGCGAAAGCGUGGGGAGCAAACAGGAUUAGAUACCCCCGUAGUC